CGCCCCCGACUGCGCGCCCCAAGCCAUCCUCCGGGACAAAAGUGGCGGCGGGGCUGGGGAGAGGGUUGAACUCGUAUCGGGAGUUGCGGCGACUUUGCCGGGUGGUGCGGCUGCGGCGGCCGGGCCUCGGCGCCGCGGGACCCGCUUGCCGGACGCGCCCUAGGGGCGCGCAGCACUUCGAGUUCCUGUCCCAAUUCUGCAGACGAACGCAAUUUACUCCGGCUUUACAGGUAAUGCUGAUUGGUUAUCCUGAGGCCAAUUGCCAGAGACUGACUCUGCUUCAUUCGCUCUCCGUAGGACCUUCUCUGAAGUACACUUCACCGGUCUCCAGCCAUUGUCCUCCUGGGAGUCCAGGUUGUCUCCCAUGUGAAUCUGAAGCCCAGAGUUCAUGGCAGGGCUUCUGAAAUCCUUCCCUCUCCAAGAGCUUCCUGGUUCUUGCCCCUCCUGAGUUCUGGGUCUUUAGUGUUGCUUGGAUUUCAGCACAUCUUCAGUUUGCUUAAGUACAUCCAGAUUCAUCCAGAAGAACCUUAACCAGCUCAGACUGAACAGAGCGAGGGAGCUACGACAACUUUGGCCACUUUAUAGACGAGGAACGUGACGUCCCGAGAGGUGAAGUGACAUGACUGAGGCCCCGCAGCUGGUAGCAAUGGAGCCAGCCACCCAAGCCAGGUCCAUUCGACCCCAUGUCCACACUCAGGACUUGCUGCUCACAGGCUUUUGAUGCUGAGUCAUUUCCUGUUCAUUUGACGCACGAUGCUUUAUAAAAGGUAAUUAAAACAAGAGAAGAGGAGAGGUCAGCUGGGGAAAGGGUUACAAGAGCGACAUCAAGACAAGCAAAAUGGUUUUGAAGCUGAGGGUCCCGGGGAGGCUCAGUCGGUGACGGGUCUGACUUCGGCUCACGUCCUGAUCUCACGGCUCAUGUGUUCGAGGCCCGCAUUGGGCCCACUGCUCUCACAGAGUUGGCUUCAGAUCCUCUGUCCCCCAGUCUCUCUGCCCCUCCCCAGCUCCCUCUUUCUC